UACGUAGGGUGCGAGCGUUGUCCGGAAUUAUUGGGCGUAAAGAGCUCGUAGGUGGUUUGUCACGUCGUCUGUGAAAUUCCGGGGCUUAACCUCGGGCGUGCAGGCGAUACGGGCAAUACUUGAGUGCUGUAGGGGAGACUGGAAUUCCUGGUGUAGCGGUGAAAUGCGCAGAUAUCAGGAGGAACACCAAUGGCGAAGGCAGGUCUCUGGGCAGUUACUGACGCUGAGGAGCGAAAGCAUGGGUAGCGGACAGGAUUAGAUA
rnacentral:rRNA from 1 species